rnacentral:rRNA from 1 species
UAUGGAGGAUCCAAGCGUUAUCCGGAAUCAUUGGGUUUAAAGGGUCCGUAGGCGGUUUAAUAAGUCAGUGGUGAAAGCCCAUCGCUCAACGGUGGAACGGCCAUUGAUACUGUUAGACUUGAAUUAUUAGGAAGUAACUAGAAUAUGUAGUGUAGCGGUGAAAAUGCUUAGAGAUUACAUGGAAUACCAAUUGCGAAGGCAGGUUACUACUAAUGGAUUGACGCUGAUGGACGAAAGCGUGGGUAGCGAACAGG